rnacentral:rRNA from 1 species
GAUGAACGCUGGCGGCGUGCCUAAUACAUGCAAGUCGAGCGAACAGACGAGGAGCUUGCUCGUCGGACGUUAGCGGCGGACGGGUGAGUAACACGUGGAUAACCUACCUAUAAGACGGGGAAAACUUCGGGACACCGGAGAUAAUACCGGAUAAUAUAUUGAAGCACGUGGGUGAAUAGUAAAAUACGGUGGUGCGGGCACUAAUAGAGGGAUCCGCGCCGCAUUAGCUAGUUGGGAAGUUAACGGGCUACCAAGGCAACGAGGCGUAUCCGACCGAAGAGGGUGGUCGGCCACCCUGGAACUGGGACACGCUCCAGAGUCCUACGGUAGGCAGCAGUAGGGAACCUUCCGCAGUGGGCGAAAGCCUGACGGAGCAACGCGGCGUGAGUGGUGAAGGUCUUCGGAUCGUAAAACUCUGUUAUUAGGGAAGAACAAAUGUGUAAUGAGCUAUGCCCUUCUUGACGGUACCUAAUCAGAAAGCCCCGGCUAACUACGUG